AUAAAUACAAAAGACAUCCUAAAGAAUUAUUAGAGGAAAUUUAAAUAAAUCUUAACCAAAUUCUACUUUAUUGCUAAUUGAAAUCUUAAUAAACUUUAAUUAAAUCCUAAAUCCUAAAUUAAAUCCUAAAAAAUCUUAAGUCCUAAAUAAAUCUUAAAUCUUAAAUCAAAUCCUAGACAAAUCCUAAAUCCUAAACCAAAUCUUAGAUUGAUCUUAAAUUCUAAACGAAAUCCUAGACAAAUUCUAAAUCCUAAAUCAAAUCUUAACUAAAACCUAACCAACUCAAACCAAUCCUAAAGUAGAUUAGAAUCCCAA
rnacentral:lncRNA from 1 species